AGUGAACGCUGGCGGUAGGCCUAACACAUGCAAGUCGAACGGCAGCACAGUAAGAGCUUGCUCUUACGGGUGGCGAGUGGCGGACGGGUGAGGAAUACAUCGGAAUCUACUUUUUCGUGGGGGAUAACGUAGGGAAACUUACGCUAAUACCGCAUACGACCUACGGGUGAAAGCAGGGGAUCUUCGGACCUUGCGCGAUUGAAUGAGCCGAUGUCGGAUUAGCUAGUUGGCGGGGUAAAGGCCCACCAAGGCGACGAUCCGUAGCUGGUCUGAGGGGAUGAUCAGCCACACUGGAACUGAGACACGGUCCAGGCUCCUACGGGAGGCAGCAGUGGGGAAUAUUGGACAAUGGGCGCAAGCCUGAUCCAGCCAUACCGCGUGGGUGAAGAAGGCCUUCGGGUUGUAAAGCCCUUUUGUUGGGAAAGAAAAGCAGCAGGUUAAUACCCCGCUGUUCUGACGGUACCCAAAGAAUAAGCACCGGCUAACUUCGUG
rnacentral:rRNA from 1 species